rnacentral:rRNA from 1 species
CUACCAAGGCAAUGAUACGUAGCCGAGUUGAGAGACUGAUCCGCCCACAAUGGGACUGAGACACGGCCCAUACUCCUACGGGAGGCAGCAGUAGGGAAUCUUCCACAAUGGGCGCAAGCCUGAUGGAGCAACGCCGCGUGCGUGAAGAAGGUCUUCGGAUCGUAAAGCGCUGUUGUUAGAGAAGAACACGGAUAAGAGUAACUGUUUAUGCGUUGACGGUAUCUAACCAGAAAGUCACGGCUAACUACGUGCCAGCAGCCGCGGUAAUACGUAGGUGGCAAGCGUUGUCCGGAUUUAUUGGGCGUAAAGGGAACGCAGGCUGUUUUUUAAGUCCGAUGUGAAAGCCUUCGGCUUAACCGAAGAAGUGCAUUGGAAACUGGGAGACUUGAGUGCAGAAGAGGAGAGUGGAACUCCAUGUGUAGCGGUGAAAUGCGUAGAUAUGUGGAAGAACACCAGUGGCGAAAGCGGCUCUCUGGUCUGUAACUGACGCUGAGGUUCGAAAGCAUGGGUAGCGAACAGGAUUAGAUACCCUGGUAGUCCAUGCCGUAAACGAUGAGUGCUAAGUGUUGGAGGGUUUCCCGCCCUUCCAGUGCUGCAGCUAACGCAAUAAGCACUCCCGCCUGGGGAGUACGACCGCCAAGGUUGAAACUCCAAAGGAAUUGACCGGGGGCCCGCACAAGCGGUGGAGCAUGUGGUUUAAUUCGAAGCUACGCGAAGAACCUUACCAGGUCCUUGACAUCCUUUCCGCCAACCUAAGAGAUUAGGCGUUCCUUCGGGGACGGAAUAACAGGUGGUGCU